UCUACAAUAAACUACCUCCUCCACCAUACCU
rnacentral:piRNA from 1 species